rnacentral:rRNA from 1 species
UUUUAUUAAAUUAUUGUUUACACUUGAUUAAGUAUUAUUUUUUUUAGUAUUGUGGACUAAUUUUUAUUAUAAUAGGUUAUAAGUACUGUGAAGGAAAUUUGAAAUAUAUGAAAAUUUAAAGUUUAUAAAGAAAAAUUAAUUUUUUGUACCUUGUGUAUCAGGGUUUAUUAAUUAUGAGGCAGUGUCUUGCUGUUCCCGAAUCCUAAAGAGUUAAUAGUUUAUUUAUUUUAAUGUUUAAUAAUUAUUUAAAAUUAAUUGUUGGUAGUGAAAUUCUAGUCGUUUUAGGUAUAUCUGGUUCUUUAAGAAAAAAAUUUAAUUUUAUUAUUUUAUUUUUACUUACUAAUUUUGUGACGUAAAAUAUAAAAUAUUUUAUAUGUUAAGGGAUAAUCUUUAACUUAUAAUUCUAUAAAAUAGUAUAAUUAAUAUACUUGGUAGGAUUAGAAAUUUCUUUCCUAAAUUUUGUUAUAAUUUUUUAUAUUUUUAUAUUAUUUUCUGUUUUUUAGUUUUUUAUUAAAGUAAUUUUAAUAAUUAUUCUAAGAUUUAAUAAUGAUAGAAUUAGUAAAUUUUUAUUUGUAAUUAUUUUUAAAAUUUAAUUUAAUUUAAGGAACUCGGCAAACUUAGUUUCUGCCUGUUUAUUAAAAACAUGUCCUUUUGGUUAUAUUUUAAGGUCUGGUCUGCCCAAUGAUGUUGUAUUGAAUGGCCGCGAUACUUUGAUCGUGCGAAGGUAGCAUAAUAAUUAGUUUUUUAAUUGAAAGCUGGUAUGAAAGAUUUGACAAGAAACUAACUGUCUCAAUUUAAUUAUUUGAAUUUUAUUUUUAAGUUAAAAAUCUUAAAUUAUAGUGAGGGACGAGAAGACCCUAUAGAGUUUUAUAGCUAAUUAUUUUAAGCAAAAUUAGGAAUUAAUUUUUCUUAAUUUUUAAGCUAUUUAGUUGGGGUGACGUAGAAAUUUGCAUAACUUUUUAUUUUGGAGAUAUUUAUUUAUAGGUUUUUGAUUUACAAGUUUAAUUAUAAGAUUAAAUUACCUUAGGGAUAACAGCGUAAUUUUUUUUAAGAGUUCUUAUCGAAAGAAAAGGUUGCGACCUCGAUGUUGGAUUAAAGUUAAAUUUUGGUGUAGGAGCUUAAAAUUUUAGUCUGUUCGACUAUUAAAACUUUACAUGAUCUGAGUUUAGACCGGCGUGAGCCAGGUUGGUUUCUAUCUUCAUUAAUUUAAAAUAUUUUAGUACGAAAGGACCAAAUAUUGGUUAAAUUAACUAGUGGUUGAAUAUUACU